rnacentral:rRNA from 1 species
GGGUUGUGAGGUUAAGCGACUAAGCGUACACGGUGGAUGCCCUGGCAGUCAGAGGCGAUGAAGGACGUGCUAAUCUGCGAAAAGCGUCGGUAAGGUGAUAUGAACCGUUAUAACCGGCGAUGUCCGAAUGGGGAAACCCAGUGCAAUUCGUUGCACUAUCGUUAACUGAAUACAUAGGUUAACGAGGCGAACCGGGGGAACUGAAACAUCUAAGUACCCCGAGGAAAAGAAAUCAACCGAGAUUCCCCAGUAGCGGCGAGCGAACGGGAGCAGCCCAGAGUCUGAAUCAGCUUGUGUGUUAGUGGAACGGUCUGGAAAGUCCGACGGUACAGGGUGAUAGUCCCGUACACCAAAAUGCACAGGUUGUGAACUCGAAGAGUAGGGCGGGACACGUGGUAUCCUGUCUGAAUAUGGGGGGACCAUCCUCCAAGGCUAAAUACUCUGACUGACCGAUAGUGAACCAGUACCGUGAGGGAAAGGCGAAAAGAACCCCGGCGAGGGGAGUGAAAAAGAACCUGAAACCGUGUACGUACAAGCAGUGGGAGCACCUUCGGGUGUGACUGCGUACCUUUUGUAUAAUGGGUCAGCGACUUAUAUUCUGUAGCAAGGUUAACCGUAUAGGGGAGCCGCAGGGAAACCGAGUCUUAACUGGGCGUUAAGUUGCAGGGUAUAGACCCGAAACCCGGUGAUCUAGCCAUGGGCAGGUUGAAGGUUGGGUAACACUAACUGGAGGACCGAACCGACUAAUGUUGAAAAAUUAGCGGAUGACUUGUGGCUGGGGGUGAAAGGCCAAUCAAACCGGGAGAUAGCUGGUUCUCCCCGAAAGCUAUUUAGGUAGCGCCUCGUGAACUCAUCUUCGGGGGUAGAGCACUGUUUCGGCUAGGGGGUCAUCCCGACUUACCAACCCGAUGCAAACUACGAAUACCGAAGAAUGUUAUCACGGGAGACACACGGCGGGUGCUAACGUCCGUCGUGAAGAGGGAAACAACCCAGACCGCCAGCUAAGGUCCCAAAGUCAUGGUUAAGUGGGAAACGAUGUGGGAAGGCACAGACAGCCAGGAUGUUGGCUUAGAAGCAGCCAUCAUUUAAAGAAAGCGUAAUAGCUCACUGGUCGAGUCGGCCUGCGCGGAAGAUGUAACGGGGCUAAACCAUGCACCGAAGCUGCGGCAGCGACACUAUGUGUUGUUGGGUAGGGGAGCGUUCUGUAAGCCUGCGAAGGUGUGCUGUGAGGCAUGCUGGAGGUAUCAGAAGUGCGAAUGCUGACAUAAGUAACGAUAAAGCGGGUGAAAAGCCCGCUCGCCGGAAGACCAAGGGUUCCUGUCCAACGUUAAUCGGGGCAGGUGAGUCGACCCUAAGGCGAGGCCGAAAGGCGUAGUCGAUGGGAAACAGGUUAAUAUUCCUGUACUUGGUGUUACUGCGAAGGGGGGACGGAGAAGGCUAUGUUAGCCGGGCGACGGUUGUCCCGGUUUAAGCAUGUAGGCUGGUUAUCCAGGCAAAUCCGGAUAAUCAAGGCUGAGGUGUGAUGACGAGGCACUACGGUGCUGAAGUAACAAAUGCCCUGCUUCCAGGAAAAGCCUCUAAGCAUCAGGUAACAUCAAAUCGUACCCCAAACCGACACAGGUGGUCAGGUAGAGAAUACCAAGGCGCUUGAGAGAACUCGGGUGAAGGAACUAGGCAAAAUGGUGCCGUAACUUCGGGAGAAGGCACGCUGGUGUGUAGGUGAAGCCCCUGCGGGUGGAGCUGAGACCAGUCGAAGAUACCAGCUGGCUGCAACUGUUUAUUAAAAACACAGCACUGUGCAAACACGAAAGUGGACGUAUACGGUGUGACGCCUGCCCGGUGCCGGAAGGUUAAUUGAUGGGGUUAUCCGUAAGGAGAAGCUCUUGAUCGAAGCCCCGGUAAACGGCGGCCGUAACUAUAACGGUCCUAAGGUAGCGAAAUUCCUUGUCGGGUAAGUUCCGACCUGCACGAAUGGCGUAAUGAUGGCCAGGCUGUCUCCACCCGAGACUCAGUGAAAUUGAACUCGCUGUGAAGAUGCAGUGUACCCGCGGCAAGACGGAAAGACCCCGUGAACCUUUACUAUAGCUUGACACUGAACAUUGAGCCUUGAUGUGUAGGAUAGGUGGGAGGCUUUGAAGCGUGGACGCCAGUCUGCGUGGAGCCAACCUUGAAAUACCACCCUUUAAUGUUUGAUGUUCUAACGUUGGCCCUUACCGGGGUUGCGGACAGUGUCUGGUGGGUAGUUUGACUGGGGCGGUCUCCUCCCAAAGCGUAACGGAGGAGCACGAAGGUUAGCUAAUCCUGGUCGGACAUCAGGAGGUUAGUGCAAUGGCAUAAGCUAGCUUGACUGCGAGCGUGACGGCGCGAGCAGGUGCGAAAGCAGGUCAUAGUGAUCCGGUGGUUCUGAAUGGAAGGGCCAUCGCUCAACGGAUAAAAGGUACUCCGGGGAUAACAGGCUGAUACCGCCCAAGAGUUCAUAUCGACGGCGGUGUUUGGCACCUCGAUGUCGGCUCAUCACAUCCUGGGGCUGAAGUAGGUCCCAAGGGUAUGGCUGUUCGCCAUUUAAAGUGGUACGCGAGCUGGGUUUAGAACGUCGUGAGACAGUUCGGUCCCUAUCUGCCGUGGGCGCUGGAGAAUUGAGGGGGGCUGCUCCUAGUACGAGAGGACCGGAGUGGACGCAUCACUGGUGUUCGGGUUGUCAUGCCAAUGGCACUGCCCGGUAGCUAAAUGCGGAAGAGAUAAGUGCUGAAAGCAUCUAAGCACGAAACUUGCCCCGAGAUGAGUUCUCCCUGAGACUUUAAGUCUCCUGAAGGAACGUUGAAGACGACGACGUUGAUAGGCCGGGUGUGUAAGCGCAGCGAUGCGUUGAGCUAACCGGUACUAAUGAACCGUGAGGCUUAACCUUACAACGCCGAAG